rnacentral:rRNA from 1 species
AAAUUGAAGAGUUUGAUCAUGGCUCAGAUUGAACGCUGGCGGCAGGCCUAACACAUGCAAGUCGAGCGGCAGCGGGAAAGUAGCUUGCUACUUUUGCCGGCGAGCGGCGGACGGGUGAGUAAUGCCUGGGGAUCUGCCCAGUCGAGGGGGAUAACUACUGGAAACGGUAGCUAAUACCGCAUACGCCCUACGGGGGAAAGCAGGGGACCUUCGGGCCUUGCGCGAUUGGAUGAACCCAGGUGGGAUUAGCUAGUUGGUGAGGUAAUGGCUCACCAAGGCGACGAUCCCUAGCUGGUCUGAGAGGAUGAUCAGCCACACUGGAACUGAGACACGGUCCAGACUCCUACGGGAGGCAGCAGUGGGGAAUAUUGCACAAUGGGGGAAACCCUGAUGCAGCCAUGCCGCGUGUGUGAAGAAGGCCUUCGGGUUGUAAAGC